CAGCCGCCGCGGGAAUACGAAGGGGGCUAGCGUUGUUCGGAAUCACUGGGCGUAAAGCGCACGUAGGCGGACACUUAAGUCAGAGGUGAAAUCCCAAGGCUCAACCUUGGAACUGCCUUUGAUACUGGGUGUCUUGAGGUCGAGAGAGGUGAGUGGAACUGCGAGUGUAGAGGUGAAAUUCGUAGAUAUUCGCAAGAACACCAGUGGCGAAGGCGGCUCACUGGCUCGAUUCUGACGCUGAGGUGCGAAAGCGUGGGGAGCAAACAGGAUUAGAUACCCGGGUAGUCCCUGUCUCUUAUAC
rnacentral:rRNA from 1 species